UACGGGGGGGGCAAGCGUUGUUCGGAAUCACUGGGCUUAAAGGGCGCGUAGGCGGGCUGCCGCGUCCGGGGUGAAAUCUCGGGGCUCAACCCCGAAACUGCACUUGAUACUGCCUUGCUCGAGUACUGGAGAGGAGAUUGGAAUUUACGGUGUAGCAGUGAAAUGCGUAGAUAUCGUAAGGAAGACCAGUGGCGAAGGCGAAUCUCUGGACAGUUACUGACACUGAGGCACGAAGGCCAGGGGAGCAAACGGG
rnacentral:rRNA from 1 species